rnacentral:lncRNA from 1 species
GGAGGAGAAAGGAAGAAGAGGAGAAGAAGAAAAGAAGAAGAAGAGGGAAAAGAAGAGAGGAGGAAGAAGAGGGAGAAGAGAAGAAUAGAAGAAGAAGAAAAAGAGAGGGAAGUGGGAGAGGAGCGAGAGGUGGCAGCAGCUAGGGCUGCAGCACUUUUGUUUCCUGCAGGUGGAAACAAAGGAGAGGUGUGGGGCGUUCGAAGAGGAGAAGAAGAAGAAGAAGAGGAGAAUAAGAAGAGAAGGGAAAGGAGGAGCUGCGGCUGCAGCGGUGGCAGCUGCAGCUGGAAGAGAAGGUGAGGAAGAAGAGAAGAAGAAGAAAGGAAGGAGAGGAAGAAGAGAAGGGGAAGAAGGGGCUGCGGCAGCGGCGAUGGCAGCUGCAGCUGGAAGAGAAGAAGGAGAGGAAGAUGAGCAGGGGAGGAAGAAGAGGCUACGACCGUGGCUGAGGCUGCGACUGCAGCAGUGCAGCUAGGAAAGAAGAGAAGGAAAGGAAGAAGAAGAGAAAGGAAAAGGGAAGAAGAGAGGAAGAGGAGAAGGGGAGGCAGCUGCGGUAGUGGCAGCUGCAGCUGGAUGGAAGGAGAGGAAACAAAGUAGGGGAGGAAGAAGAGGCUGCGGCUGUGGUGGCUGCGACUGCGGCUGCGGCUGCGAUGUUGGUUGCGGUAGCUGCGGCAGUGGUGGUGGCUGCAGUAGCUGCUUUUGGGAAAGAGAAAGAAAGGAAAGGGAAAAAAAAAAAGGGGG